AUGACUGGUCUGACCCAGUAUGGCCAUUCUUAUGUGGUCAACAGUUCAAAGAGUAGUCUGAUUCCCAUGGAUGCCAGGAGAAGGUCAACCACACGACCUAAUCUUUAUGAAGACCCUGGGUGCUGUUACCAGGCCGAAUGGAAGUACUCUGAACUGGUGGUGGUCUUGUCCUAACAGAAAUUUGAAGAACCUUCUGUAGGACGGGUUAAUGUCAACAUGAAAGUAAGCAUCUUUCAAGUCAAGAACCACAAAUCAUAUGCACCUCUCCAGGAAAUAGAAUAACUGAAGCCAAUACAACUGUAACCAAAUGCACCCCUGUAUAUACACCCUAUACACUACUAUAGUAAUCUUUGUACAAAAUAGGCCUUGUAAGGUAUCAUAUGAAAACUAAUAACUCAGUGGUUAAUAACAUCAUGGUGACAUGUAUGUAGCAUCAUUAUAUAUAAAGUUAUGAAUUUCCCAUGUAUGAUGAUGAUAGCACAUGUUGAAACCCACAUAGCCUUGACUAGGCAUAAGUUGUUAAACAGGUCUAUCCUAAACAAAGAAAUGUGUUUACACCUCAACUUACAUGUAAGUGGUAAACAGGGGCCCUUGGGACAGCAAGAGGGGUAAAGCAGUUUCUCAAAGAUAAAGGACAAACUGAUGCCUCUAGCCAGGUAUCAUCAUCAGUUGACUGGCACUCACCAGUCAAGUGGCCUUUCUUUGACAAUGAAGUAGGGCAGGAACAGAUCAAACUGCAUUUUAGCAAGCAAACGCCAAGGAACCUCUUUCACCAUGAGACUUUGAGUCCAUCCUUGCAGCUGGAAGGAAUUUUAUCUAGGGCUAACCUUCAGGAAGAUGCAUUUCAAAGGAUGACUGCACUAUAAAAGUGAGAGAAACAUAACCUGGGGUGUGUUUGCCUUUCUCUCUCUUUCACCUAAGACAACAAAGGAACGAACAAGCCUUUUGACUUUGGAAGGGAUCCUAACAUGUAAAUUUGGUUAGCAACAUUGCUAACCAAAAUGUAAGGAUUUUACUUUGAAACAAGUUUAGUUUACGCUUCAGUAACUAGAACGCAUUUUAUCUUUUUCGCUUGUAACCAUUUCUGACUUUAAUACCUUGUACUUGUAGUCACUUAUAAUCUAUCCCUCUGUAGUUAAAUAAACUUGUUUUAUUUUUUUAAUUAAAACUAAUC
rnacentral:lncRNA from 1 species